UACAGAGGUCUCGAGCGUUAGGCGGAAUCACUGGGCUUAAAGCGUGUGUAGGCGGAUCGGGUAAGUACCUUGUGAAAUCCCACAGCUUAACUGUGGAACUGCUUGGUAUACUGCCAGUCUUGAGCCACUUAGGGCUACCGGAACAAAUGGUGGAGCGGUGAAAUGCGUAGAUAUCAUUUGGAACGCCAAUGGUGAAAACAGGUAGCUGGGAGUGUGCUGACGCGAGACACGAAAGCCAGGGGGAGCAAACCGGGG
rnacentral:rRNA from 1 species